rnacentral:rRNA from 1 species
UACGUAGGCAGCGAGCGUUGUUCGGAAUUACUGGGCGUAAAGGGUGCGUAGGCGGCGGUCCAUGUCUGGUGUGAAAUCUCCUGGCUCAACCGGGAGGGUGCGCCGGAAACGGGGCUGCUCGAGUAUGGAAGAGGCAAGCGGAAUUCCCGGUGUAGCGGUGAAAUGCGUAGAUAUCGGGAGGAACUCCAGUGGUGUAGACGGCUUGCUGGGCCAUAACUGACGCUGAGGCACGAAAGCGUGGGUAGCAAACAGG